UACGGGGGGGGCAAGCGUUGUUCGGAAUUACUGGGCGUAAAGGGCUCGUAGGUGGCCAACUAAGUCGGACGUGAAAUCCCUCGGCUUAACCGGGGAACUGCGUCUGAUACUGGAUGGCUUGAGUUCGGGAGAGGGAUGCGGAAUUCCAGGUGUAGCGGUGAAAUGCGUAGAUAUCUGGAGGAACACCGGUGGCGAAGGCGCACAUCUGGCCCGAUACUGACGCUGAGGCGCGAAAGCUAGGGGAGCAAACGGG
rnacentral:rRNA from 1 species